ACUUAGCUGAGAGGUGGUGCAUGGCCGUCGUCAGUUCGUACUGUGAAGCAUCCUGUUAAGUCAGGCAACGAGCGAGACCCACGUCCACAGUUGCCAGCAUACCCUCCGGGGUGGAUGGGUACACUGUGGAGACCGCCGCUGCUAAAGCGGAGGAAGGAGUGGGCAACGGUAGGUCAGUAUGCCCCGAAUCUCCCGGGCUACACGCGGGCUACAAUGGUUGGUACAAUGGGCAUCUACCCCGAAAGGGGAAGGAAAUCUCUUAAAGCCAAUCGUAGUUCGGAUUGAGGGCUGCAACUCGCCCUCAUGAAGCUGGAAUCCGUAGUAAUCGCGUUUCAACAGAACGCGGUGAAUACGUCCCUGCUCCUU
rnacentral:rRNA from 1 species